rnacentral:piRNA from 1 species
GUGAGGCGCUGUGGGCACGGCUUGG